AGUGAACGCUGGCGGUAGGCCUAACACAUGCAAGUCGAACGGCAGCACAGUAAGAGCUUGCUCUUACGGGUGGCGAGUGGCGGACGGGUGAGGAAUACAUCGGAAUCUACUUUUUCGUGGGGGAUGACGUAGGGAAACUUACGCUAAUACCGCAUACGACCUACGGGUGAAAGCAGGGGAUCUUCGGACCUUGCGCGAUUGAAUGAGCCGAUGUCGGAUUAGCUAGUUGGCGGGGUAAAGGCCCACCAAGGCGACGAUCCGUAGCUGGUCUGAGAGGAUGAUCGGCCACACUGGAACUGAGACACGGUCCAGACUCCUACGGGAGGCAGCAGUGGGGAAUAUUGGACAAUGGGCGCAAGCCUGAUCCAGCCAUACCGCGUGGGUGAAGAAGGCCUUCGGGUUGUAAAGCCCUUUUGUUGGGAAAGAAAAGCAGCAGGUUAAUACCCCGCUGUUCUGACGGUACCCAAAGAAUAAGCACCGGCUAACUUCGUG
rnacentral:rRNA from 1 species